AGAGGCCCAAGUUGAUAGGCACCGGCGUAAAGGGUGGUUAGGGAUCACUAUAAAAUAAAGCCGAAUAUCUUCAACGCUGUUAUACGCCCCCGAAGAUUCGAAGCCCCGUUACGAAAGUAGCUUUACCUUCCCCCGAACCCACGAAAGCCAGGGUACAAACUGGGAUUAGAUACCCCACUAUGCCUGGCCGUAAACAUUGAUAAAAUAUUACACAUAUUAUCCGCCUGGGUACUACGAGCAGUA
rnacentral:rRNA from 1 species